AGAGUUUGAUCCUGGCUCAGAUUGAACGCUGGCGGCAUGCCUUACACAUGCAAGUCGAACGGCAGCACGGGGCAACCUGGUGGCGAGUGGCGAACGGGUGAGUAAUAUAUCGGAACAUACCCUAGAGUGGGGGAUAACGUAGCGAAAGUUACGCUAAUACCGCAUACGAACUAAGGUUGAAAGUGGGGGAUCUUCGGACCUCAUGCUCAUGGAGUGGCCGAUAUCUGAUUAGCUAGUUGGUGAGGUAAAGGCUCACCAAGGCGACGAUCAGUAGCUGGUUUGAGAGAACGACCAGCCACACUGGAACUGAGACACGGUCCAGACUCCUACGGGAGGCAGCAGUGGGGAAUUUUGGACAAUGGGCGCAAGCCUGAUCCAGCAAUGCCGCGUGAGUGAAGAAGGCCUUCGGGUUGUAAAGCUCUUUUGUCAGGGAAGAAACGGUGAGUCCUAAUACGGCUUGCUAAUGACGGUACCUGAAGAAUAAGCACCGGCUAACUACGUGCCAGCAGCCGCGGUAAUACGUAGGGUGCAAGCGUUAAUCGGAAUUACUGGGCGUAAAGCGUGCGCAGGCGGUUAUAUAAGUCAGAUGUGAAAUCCCCGGGCUCAACCUGGGAACUGCAUUUGAGACUGUAUGGCUAGAGUGUGUCAGAGGGGGGUAGAAUUCCACGUGUAGCAGUGAAAUGCGUAGAUAUGUGGAGGAAUACCGAUGGCGAAGGCAGCCCCCUGGGAUAACACUGACGCUCAUGCACGAAAGCGUGGGGAGCAAACAGGAUUAGAUACCCUGGUAGUCCACGCCCUAA
rnacentral:rRNA from 1 species